rnacentral:rRNA from 1 species
GAUGAACGCUGGCGGCGUGCCUAAUACAUGCAAGUCGAGCGAACAGACGAGGAGCUUGCUCCUCUGACGUUAGCGGCGGACGGGUGAGUAACACGUGGAUAACCUACCUAUAAGACUGGGAUAACUUCGGGAAACCGGAGCUAAUACCGGAUAAUAUAUUGAACCGCAUGGUUCAAUAGUGAAAGACGGUUUUGCUGUCACUUAUAGAUGGAUCCGCGCCGCAUUAGCUAGUUGGUAAGGUAACGGCUUACCAAGGCAACGAUGCGUAGCCGACCUGAGAGGGUGGUCGGCCGCACUGGAACUGGGACACGGUCCAGACUCCUACGGGAGGCAGCAGUAGGGAAUCUUCCGCAAUGGGCGAAAGCUUGACGGAGCAACGCCGCGUGAGUGAUGAAGGUCUUCGGAUCGUAAAACUCUGUUAUUAGGGAAGAACAAAUGUGUAAGUAACUAUGCACGUCUUGACGGUACCUAAUCAGAAAGCCACGGCUAACUACGUG